AUACACAGGAGACAGGGAGCUGAUCCCCAACAUAGUUCCGCUGCACAGUUUUUAUUCCAUCAGUGUGAAGUUAGUCAGGUCCUGACCACUCUCAUCCUCGAGCAUAUCAUCACACAGUUGCCCCUGCAACUGCUUCAGUAAAGCAGACUAAGAUCUACAUGGAGCCUCAUCCUGUCUUCAGAUACUCCCCUUUGCAGUUUGUACAGAUUAAACCAUGUCUUGUAAUUCUGGAGAAGAUGAAACUCCCACUGAACUUGUAAUGGACAGCCCUGAAGACACAUGCAGUAACCACUGAGUCUCAUCCAAGAGAGCAGGGAAGUUCCUGGAAUGUAGGCCAGUCAUUUCAAUCUAACAAAAAACAGGACAGAUGCCACGUCGCUGGUUUACUGCUGUGCAGCUCCUCCAGCUUAUACAAACUGAACAUCAUCACAGGAAGGAACAGACUUCAUAAUAAUACGAAGUUCUAUGCCAUUUAAUUCAAACCACUUUACAAAUACCAUUUAAAAAAUAAAACCUGAGCGACAAAAGCAAAUUAUAGACAGGACUGCCUCACUUCUAGAGAAAUGCAGCUGACAUUACACCACAAUCCAAAGCCAAGAAAAGGACUGGCUAUCAAGCCAGCUUGGAACUACAUUCGACAGCUGAAGUUUAAUAUUUGCAGUUACGAGAACUAUUUCUGAAAAUAUUUCAGGUAUUUUAUAUCAUUUGUUGUAAAUCAUUGAUAUUCUUCUGACCAUAUACACAGAAAAAUCUGUAGUCUCUGAAGAAAGGAAAGCCUCUGAACUUUACAAACGUGGAGACAGAUGAACAAAUCUUUGCAACUACCAUUUCCAUGAGUGUGACGUCCAGUAUGUUGUCAUACACAGCUUAACUUGCUAACUCAAGAAAAGGGAAGCUUUCAGUUGUAAAAACACAAACUAAAAGUCAGAACAGACACACCUCCGAUUAUUGAAUUAUUUGGUAAACAGUGGGUUGGGUGACAUUUGCCAACUGAAGAGCAACUGGCAUAAAACAGUACUCACAAUUUAAGAGAUUAUGUUUAAGAAACCAGGAGGGUCUUCUGUCACUAUCUACAUCCUGACCAGGCAAUGGUGUGAGCAGACAGGCAGAAAUCAGUUUAUUCACGGACAGCUGUUCUUUAUCAGCUUCAUCUGAAUGCUCACAUAAACAACAUGUAGAAUUAUGAUAGACAUACACAAAGACAAUACCCCAAUAUUUCACUUACAAACUAAAGUUUUGCUGGUUUGAAAUAUAUUAGCAAUAGGUAUAUAUAUUUUAAUACUAACAGUCUACUCUGUGCUGAGACUAACAAAACUUCAGACCUUAUGCAAGGAAACUUAGAGUCAAGGACACACCAAGAACUUCCACACAAAUCUAUGCUUACAGAUCUUAUUGCAGAAGCAAGGUUGGAGAUGGCAGUCAAAUCUAAGAAAACAAAGUUAGAUAGGUAUUUAGAGGAACGGGAAAGAAGACUAAGGCACUUCCUGCACUGUGCAUUCUCUCACAAUCAUUUAACACUAUUGCACAACUGCAGAGUUGCAUCUGCAACCAGAACAAAAACAUUUAGCACUCUCAGCAUGUAUUUCAGUGCAAAAAGCAAUACAAAACCCAGUGCUAUCACCAGUUUAUAUAAUCUAAACACAGUUAAUAUUCCCACAGAGAAACAAAGUCCAAAGAAAUGAAUACAUCAUCUAAAAUCCUUGCGCUGACCCAUAGUCCCCAGCUUAGUGCUGAUCAUUGAAAUGCCUAGUAAAUACGUAGAGUUAACACAUCAGUGCUGAUGAGAGAGUUAAUAACUUCUUAAGUUACAGCGUCACACUGCCUCCAAACUCAGGCAGGCAUUGACACUACCUGAUGUUUGGUAUUUUUCCCACAGCUCUUUACAGUAUAAAAGCAGGGUUUUGCUUUGAUUAGAUUCUUCCAGAGCACAGUUCCAUAUGAAUGGAUGCAUAUUUUAACUAAAGAUGACAUGGAGUCCCAUCUGCUUUGUUGUAUUUUUCUGUAAAUGCUGAUCCUGCUGAUCUGUUAAGGGACAAACACAAACAUCUUUCUUUACUAAAUGUAGUAACUAUGGAUUACGCCUUCCUAACUUGAUCAGUUAUAGCUCCAUUUCUCUCUUCCAACUGAAAAUUUCCAUAAAGAUGCAGAAAUACUCAGAUACAUAAUUUAAAGAGAAGUCUUAAGAACCAUUAGGUUUAUUUCCAGGCAAAGAUGGCUCCCAGUUGUUUUCCUUGCACAGUCAUCUUUCCCUAGUUAUCUUCAGCAUGCAUAAUAGACACUACUCCUUUCUUUUACUUGAUUCUAUAUGGAUGCACUGAAUCCUUAAAAUGCAUCCAGUCACAAUACAGUAGUUUUGGGGGAAGAAUUUGUCAGAAAAAAUGUCAUCUGUAUUUGCAGUGCUCUAUAAAUGAAGAUAUCACCAAUCCGAUACACUCUAGGUCAACUCUUCUUUUCUUUGGUGGUCACUUUUCAGCAACUGAAAUCACAAGGCAUAAAGUCAAUAGAUAUUUGAGCUAUUUAAAUAGCUCAAAGGAUAAAGGUCAUGCCUCUGAUGCAAUUUAUCUUUACAGGAAGCCACUCAAAUCUUGGAAACCACUACCUUGGAGAUAGCAGAUUCUGGGGGUUGUAUAGAUAAGAGAUCAAUUCUCAGUAAUUUAAAGUUCUCUUAAAUAGUCAGCCCAGACAGGAAGGAUUCCAGUUUAAUUAACUACAGGCUUAAACCUACAAAGGGGCAUUCUGCAUCUCUUGAGACCACUGCACACCUUUUGCAAAGGAAAGCUGGAGGCAUCUUCUGAGAAUAAACAUCAAGACCACAGCUGCUCUGUUUCAAACUUGCCCCCACAGUGCCCAGAUCUCUGCAGAGUGCAGCACCCACCAUUUUUGCUAUGACAGUCAGAAAGUUCUUGAUUCCUUAACAUGGGAACAUCAGCAUGUUGUUACUCCCAGACAUUUCUUUCUUCACUUUUCAAUGUUUUCUCUGUGCUAUCUGUCAUCACCUUGUUUUCUCAUUUUCCUUUUAAUUAAAGAUUAUUAUUCAAAGGAGGAAAUGUAGCACAAUUUGAGAAUUCAUUCAGCAUGUAUAGAGAUGCAUGUGGUCUACUGACUUAUACAAAGGAU
ensembl:lncRNA